rnacentral:rRNA from 1 species
GACGAACGCUGGCGGCGUGCCUAAUACAUGCAAGUCGAACGCAGUGGGGACGGGCGAGUAACACGUGGGUAACCUGCCAUCAGAGGGGAUAAGAUUUGGAAACAGGUGCUAAACCGAUACUGAUGGAUGGACCCGCGGGGCAUUAGCUAGUUGGUGGGGUAACGGCUCACCAAGGCAACGAUGCAUAGCCGGCCUGAGAGGGUGAUCGGCCACACUGGGACGGAGACACGGCCCAGACUCCUACGGGAGGCAGCAGUAGGGAAUCUUCGGCAAUGGGCGCAAGUCUGACCGAGCCACGCCGCGUGAGUGAAGAAGGUUUUCGGGUCGUAAAGCUCUGUUGUUAGAGAAGCGGUAUCCAACCAGAAAGCCACGGCUAACUCCGUGCCAGCAGCCGCGGUAAUAC